UACGUAGGGCGCAAGCGUUAUCCGGAAUUAUUGGGCGUAAAGAGCUCGUAGGCGGUUUGUCGCGUCUGCCGUGAAAGUCCGGGGCUCAACUCCGGAUCUGCGGUGGGUACGGGCAGACUAGAGUGAUGUAGGGGAGACUGGAAUUCCUGGUGUAGCGGUGGAAUGCGCAGAUAUCAGGAGGAACACCGGUGGCGAAGGCGGGAUCCUGGGCCAGUACUGACGCUGAGGAGCGAAAACGUGGGGAGCAAACAGG
rnacentral:rRNA from 1 species